AAAACUUUCAAUAAUAAAUUUCUUAGUUUUAGUAUUAAUAAAGAAUGUAGCGAAAUAUAAUAAGUAAUAUAAAUUAUAGAAUUUAGUAAAUUAUUAAAUCUUUAAACGUAUAUUAUACUUACUAAUAUUUUAGUAAAUAUAUUUAUUCGAACGUUAUUUUAAUUAUUAAAUUUUAUUUACGUUAGGGAUUUAUAAUUAUCUAUAGUCCUUCAAAAUCAGUAGCGGGCUCGCUAAUUAUAUUAAGUAUAGUAAUUUUAUAUUACUAUAAUUAUACGGCGGGUUUUUACUAUAAAACCCCCUAUUUCUAAGGUUGACCUCGGAUUAGGUAAGAAUACCCGCUAAAUUUAAAUAUAUUAAUAAGCAGAGGAAAAAAAACUAAUAGGGAUUGUUUUAGUAAUAGUGAGUGAAGCGGUAAUAGUUUAAAUUUGAAAUUUAGCUUCGGCCUGAAUUGUAAUUUAUAGAGGAAGCUUUUAGUAAGGCACCUUUUAAAUCCCCUAGAAUAGGGCGCUAUAGAGGGUGAGAGCCUUAUAUAAUUGGAUGUCGAUUUAAUAUAAAGUUCCUUUAAUAAAUCGAAUAAUUUAGGAAUAUUAUUUAAAAUAGAAGGUAAAUUUCUUCUAAAGUUAAAUAUUAGUUAGAGAUUAAUAGCGUAUAAGUAGAGUAAUUGAAAGAUAAAAAGCACUUUAAAAAGAGGGUUAAAUAGUAUAUAAAAUUAUUAAAAAGGAAAUAUUUGUAAUUAGAUUUAUAUUAUUCUAAUUAUCCAAUAUUCUUACUAGUAUAUUUAGGACGGUUUAAGCUAGUAUUAAUUUUAGUAGGGGGAUAAAGGUUUAGGGAAUAUAGCUCUUCCGGGAGUGUUAUAACUCCGGGUGUAAUGCCCUCGCUAGGACCGAAGUUCGUAUAUUUGUAAGGAUAUUAGUGUAAUAGUUAUUAAUAAUCCGUUUUGAAAUACGAAUUAAGGAAUUAAGGUUUUGUACGAGUGUUUGGGUGUAAAACCCGUAUGUGUAAUGAAAGUAAAUGUAGGUGAGAGUUUCGGUAUAUUAUCGACCGAUUUUAAUAUAUUCGGAUAAAUUUAAAUAAGAGUGUUAAACCUUAGACCCGAAAAAUAGUAAAUUAUAUUUAGAUAAGGUGAAGUUAGAGGAAAUUUUGGUAGAGGUUUAUAGCGGUUUUAAUGUGCAAAUUGAUUAUUAAAUUUAAGUAUAGGGGUGAAAGAUUAAUUAAAUUAUUUAGUAGUUGGUUACUGCCGAAGUUUCUCUUAGGAUAGUAGUAUUAUUCUUUAGUUUUAUAAGGUAAAGCGAAUGAUUAGGGAUUCGGGGGCGCUUUUUAGCCUUUAUUUAUUCUUAAACUUUAAAUAUAUAAGAAGUCCUUAUUAUUUAAUUGAAUAUAGGUAUUCGAAUAUACUAAUAUUAGUAGGCUAUUUUUAGUAAAUAGAAUUAGCAAUAUGAGAUAAAUUGAAUGUAGGGUUAAAGUACUAGAAUAGACGUUUAUUAAAUAUUAUAAAAAGUAUUAAUAUAUUUUAAUAGUAGGAUGGUGGCUAUAGAAGUCGGAAUCCGUUAAAAAUUGUGUAAUAAUUUACCUACUAAAUAUAUUAGCCUUAAAAAUAGAUAGCGCUUAAGUAUCCUACUUAUACUCCGCCCUUAGGGUAGAAACGAUGUUCUAAGGAGUAGGCAGUUGUAGAAGUUAAUAAUAAAGCUUAGGGCGUAAGCCCGGGUCGAACGGCUUUUAGUAUAGAUCUUGGUAGUAAUAGUAAAUAUUUUAAUAAGAAUUUGAAGGAUUAAAGUAGAGAAAGGUUUUAUGUAAAUAGUGGUUGGAUAUAGGUUAAUUAAUUUUAAGCUAUAGGGAAGUUCUAUUUUAAAGGGGUAUUUGUACCCUAUAUAGUGAAAGGGAAGCUAGUUAAUAUUCCGGCACUUAGAUAUAGGUUUUGUAUAGUAAUGCAAUUAAAUGCGGAGAUAACGGCGGGGGCCCCGGGUAGAAUUUUCUUUUCUUCUUAAUAGUCUAUUAUUUUGAAAAUAGUUUGUUUGGAGAUAGGGUUUAAUAGCCGGAAGAGUCCGAUACUUUUAUCGGGUCCGGUAUACUUUCGAUAUCCCUUAAAAAUCUGUAGGAGGGAAUAAUUCUUAUAUUAGGUUGUACUUAUAAUUGUAGUAGGUUUCUAAAGUGAAUAGCCUCUAGUUAAUAGAAUAAUGUAAAUAAAGGAAGUUGGUAAAAUAGAUCUAUAAUUUCGGGAAAAGGAUUGGCUCUAAGGGUUAGGUAUAUCGGGUUUUGGGUAGACGCUUUAGGAGUAGAUUGCUAUUAGUUGGGUAAUUAGCCGGCGGCUUUUAGUAUUCGGGUAUAGAAGCCUUUAAUAGAUUUCGGUUGUCCGGCGUAUAUUUAAUAACCAAUUUAGAAUUAGUAUAAAUAGGGGGAAUUUAAUUGUUUAAUUAAAAUAUAGUAUUGCGAUAGUUAGAAAGUGGUGUUAAUGUAAUGUGAUUUUUGCCUAGUGUUUUGAAUAUUAAAGUGAAGAAAUUUAAUUAAAUGUAGGUAAAUAGUAGGAGUAACUAUAAUUUUCUUAAGGUAAUUAAAUACUUCGUUAUUUAAUUAGUAAUAUAUAUAAAUAAAUUAAUGAGAUUCCUAUUGUCCCUAUUUACUAUCUAGCGAAACUAUAGUUAAGGGAACGGGUUUAGUAGAAUUAGUGGGGAAAGAAGACCCUAUUAAAUUUAAUUUUAGUUUAAUAUUAUAAAAAGAUAUAGGAGGUGUAGAAUAGGUAGGAGCUUCGGCGCCGGUAAAAUAUUACUAUUCUUAUUAUUUUUUUAUUUAUUUAAUUAAGUAGGGCUGGAUUUUUAUUCAAUUUUUAGUUUUAAAGUCCUUUGUAGGCCGACCUAGGUUGAAGAUAUUAUUAAGUGGGGAGUUUAGUUGGGGCGGUACAUUUGUUAAAUUAUAAUGUAGGUGUCCUAAGGGGGGUUUAUGGAGAAUAGAAAUUUUUAGUAGAAUAAAAGGGUAAAAGUCCCUUUGAUUUUGAUUUUUAGUGUGAAUACAAAUUAUAAAAGUGUAGCCUAUCAAUCCUUUAAUCCCUCGAAAUUUGAAGUUAGAAGUAUUAGAAAAGUUACUAUAGGGAUAAUUGGUUUAUAGCGGCUAAGUAUUUAUAAUAAUAUUACUUUUUAAUCUUUCGAUAUCGGCUCUUUCUAUUAUACCGAAGUAGAAUUUAGUAAGCGUUAGAUUGUUUACCUAUUAAUAAGGAAUGUAAGUUGGGUUUAGACUAUUAUAAGAUAGGUUAGUUUUACCCUAUUAAUAACCUUAUUAUAAUAGUAAUUGAGUUUAGUAUGAGAGGAACUGCUUAUUUAGAUAAUUGGUUUUUAUAGUUGUCCGACUGGGUAGUGCUGCAACGCUACUAUUUAUUGGAUAAUAAUUGAAUACUUUUAAAUUAGAAUCUAUAUUAGAAUACGAUAAUACUUCUAAUAUAUUGUAGACGUAUAAAAAUAAACUCCGGCUUUAUAUUUUAAUAAACAAUUCUUCCGUUAGCCUUAAAGUAGCUAGUAGUAAUUCGCGUAUUGUAAUUUUA
rnacentral:rRNA from 1 species